UUUUUUUUUUUUUUUUUUUUUUUUUUUUUUUG
rnacentral:ribozyme from 1 species